GCUGGGAUGGCUCGGUUGGCAGAGUACAGGGCUGCAAAUCUCUAGGUUGCGGGUUCGAGCCCUACUCUGGGCA